AGUCGUAACAAGGUAACCGUAGGUGAACCUGCGGGCUGGUCAAACUUGGUCAUUUAGAGGAAGUACAAGUCGUAACAAGGUAACCGUAGGUGAACCUGCGGUUGGAUCAUUAACAAUGGUUUUCAAACCUUUAUUCUGUGCACUGUAUUGUUCUUGGUGUUUUCCGCCUCUUUCUUUGGAGAGGAGCGGAGGCACCGACAUUUUUAAACCAUGUAUUGUAUCGAGUCUUGAAUUUGUAUUAAAAUGAAAAACUUUUGACAACGGAUCUCUUGGCUCUC
rnacentral:misc_RNA from 1 species